UACGUAGGGUGCGAGCGUUAAUCGGAAUUACUGGGCGUAAAGCGUGCGCAGGCGGGCUUUUAAGCCAGACGUGAAAUCCCCGGGCUUAACCUGGGAACUGCAUUUGUGACUGCAUCGCUGGAGUGCGGCAGAGGGGGAUGGAAUUCCGCGUGUAGCAGUGAAAUGCGUAGAUAUGCGGAGGAACACCGAUGGCGAAGGCAAUCCCCUGGGCCUGCACUGACGCUCAUGCACGAAAGCGUGGGGAGCAAACAGG
rnacentral:rRNA from 1 species